AUUGACUAACUUUUAAAGCCCAGUCAUGCCACGUGCCAGCAGACAGUUGAUAAGCAUUUGAGGAGAAUAAUGCUGACUUCACCCAGAGAAGAUGUGCUAAUUGGGAUGCGGGCGGGACCUGGUACUGAUGUGACUCAGCCUGAUUUCACUGCUCCAAUGGCACAGCCGUGAAGAGCUGGUCUCCAGGAAUGGGGACCCAUGUCUGUGACUGCACGUUGCAAGAUGGUUUGGAAAGUUUAGUUCAUAUCUUAAAAUGCCACAAGAUAGGGAAAUGAGAUAUGAUGCUUUUCACUUUUCAGACCUGGCUGUUCUCUAGAGAAAA